ACAUGUGAUGGUGAUCUGGAGCAACAUCUGUCAUCCCAUUGAUUGCCAGGGUUGAUGUGGCUGAUCUGGCUGGUUAGGCGGGUGUACCCUUCCUCCUUCACUGUUCCAUGUGCAUCCCUCCCGAAGCUGCGUACUCGGUGGAAGAGGACAACCACCCCAGAUAGAAGGAGUGUACCAAUCUUUGGUCAAGGCUAUAUGAUAGCUACGCUCCCCCUCCCUCACAGCUCCAUUUGUGUCCCUCCCAAAGCUGCCCACUAGGUGGAAGAGAAUGACCAUCCCAGAUAGGAGUCUUCUGUCAAGGGUAUACGAUAGCUGCGCUCCCUUGCUAGAACCUCAAAACAAACUCAAGGUCCAUUUGUAGAAGAUUAGAUACCUGACUUAUUUAGUUGAAUUGAUUCAGGGUUCCACAUCAGAUU
rnacentral:snRNA from 1 species